CUCACGAAUCACCUCUUCAUGAAAGGCACGCCCUGGAGCUAGAUCCGAUCCAAUCGCGGAAGAUCCAUAGCAGGACCAUUAAAAGGAGAAAGAAGAGACAAGAUCCACCAGGGGAGCACCGCCGGAUGAGAGGAAGUCAAUCCGCCGCCCUCGCUGGAUUCGCUCCCCCUCUUCUCCUUCGUCGCGGCUGCUAUUACUUUCUCAGGAAUGGAGACCACCGCUGGCACCGCUAUCUACCCUCUGCACCGCUGCAAAACCAUACACCUGGUGAGGCAUGCCCGGGGUGUUCACAACGUGGAAGGCUAAAAGGAUCACAGUGCGUACAUGAAACCGGAGUUCUUUGAUGCUCAAAUUACUCCUUUGGGAUGGAACCAAGUAUUGGGCAACACGACAACAACUUUUCCUUCAUUACUUAGAGAUUGAAAUAUUAAUUUGAGAUGGGCUGCACUUCAAUUCCUAUUCAACUCGACAAAUGCAUCUGAAUCUACUGGUAUCGUUGCCAAACCGCCCCAAGCAGAAGAAUCUAUCAUAGAACUUAUACCAAAGACUUCUAAGUAAUAACCUCAACGAGUCAGGCUACGACGGUGCCCAAAGAGGUGACUGUGCUGGCGAAUUGGAUGGAUGGUGCAGUAACUAGACAGUGGCAAUGGUGGAGACAUGCCGGUAGGGGGGGUGGGGGGGGGGAGGUGGCAGCGUAAGAGGAGGUAAGUGAAGAUUCACGAAAUAGGUAUAUAGUGCAGAAGGGCAAUGGCGCACCAUGACAGGGAAGAAAGCACUGUGCCGCCUCCCCCUCUCCACAGCACACCGCCUCCUAUCCACUGCUGCGCAGUCUCCCCUUCCCCGUGUCACCACCUUGUGCUCUCCUGGCUGGCUCCCUCUACCACACAACCUGUGCGGCGGGCCACCACCUCACCGCAAAAGCAAAAUGGCCUCACAUUGAGUGACAAUGCUGGUUGAUGGAAGAUACAUGUAUGUCCCUUGAUUCCAUGGUGGUCAGGAGAAAAAUGGUUUAACUCUUUGAAGAUGACUACAAAGUAGUUGUAUCUUAUUUUAGUUUGUGCCUUCAAACUGACUACUGAAUGUAACAAAUUUCUGCUUAUGAAUCUGCUUACAGAUGAAUAUAAUAAACUUGGAUGGUUUUCUGUUUAUGAACACAAUCUGCAUCGAUCACACAUUUUUCAUAAGAAGAAGUUCCUAUGGCAUGUCUAACCAUGUCAUGUGCCUUCAUAUGGCCUCUUCAUAGGUCG